GAUACAGGUCAGAGGGCAUGUCACAGAGCCUGGCAAUCUUCUGCCCAGCUUUUUUUUGUCCUAUACUCCUGCAGGUUCACGGAGGAGGAGAAGUUUCUUCUCCUUUUAGGUGGACACUGGCAGCCCUCGUCUUUAUUUUAUGUUGCAGGAUGACUUCUUCCAGGGAUGAGUGAUGGGGGGGAAGUCCAUUCCUGCUAGGGGAACAACUCCACUCCUUGCUUGGUGUGUUUCUGCACUGAGCACAACACGACUAUACCUCCAAACCCAAUGAGUCAGCCCCAGCCCCAGUGGCCUUGGUCUUGAAUGACAUCAUGAGGGGGACAUUAACAAUCCAGCCCAGGUUCUUUUUACAGUCUCUUCUCUAGUUCUCAGUGAAGACUAGGCCUCAGUUUCUCAUCUUCUGUGAGUGUUGCCUGCAUAAGACUGUACAGCUUCCUAAGGAUAAAAAAUGGUUUCAUUGCCCAGGAUGGUCACAUCCAUGGCUAGUGCAAGAAGCUUUUCUCUCCUGGUCUGCAGGGUACCACUCUGCUUACACAGAUUACUUUUCCCUGCAUCUCAUGGAUUCGUUUGGUUCCCUGGCAUCACGGCUGUCUCCACCAUCUCCAUGGCUACGGGAGUGUUUGCUUUAUGUCUUCACAACUGAGACACUGAGUGGAUUUGUCCUCAAAUAAAAGGCUGUCUUCUCUAGAGGCGAAUUCAACUCUGGUAAAAUUGAGACUUGCUUGAAGCUUUGAAAAUAUAGGCUCCCUCCCACUCUCAACUUCUGCCUUUCCUAUUGAAAUUUCAAGGAUCUUGGGACUUUUGCCAGCAUUUAAUCUCAGAGUAUCCUGUGUUUUCCCUCGGUUAUAGGUUGAAUUGUCUUCCCCAAGAUUCAGAUGUUGACGUCCCAACUCCAAAUAAACUCAGAAUGUGACUGCAUUUGGAGACAGGGUCUUUAAAGAGGUGAUUAGGUUAAAUGAGAUCAUAUGGGUGGGCCUUACCUCCAUGUGAUUGUUGUCCUUAUAAGAAGAGGCGAUCAGGACACAGACACACACAGAAGCAAGAGUAUGUGAAGACACAGGGAGAAGAUCGCCAUCUACAAGCCAAGGAGUGAGGCUUCAGAAGGAAGCAACCCUGCCAACACCUUGAUCUUGGACUUCCAGCCUCCACAGCUGGUGAAGCCCGGGGAUGACAUUUCCUCCUUGCAUCCCAAGUGGCCACGCCAUUGCUCUUGCCGAUAAAACGUGAAGCACUUCCAGUCUGGAGCUUUUAAGGAUGAGUGUGGCUUGUCUACUUGCUCCUUUCUUGGCUGGAAGAAGAGGAUGCUGAGGGAGAACUACCAGACAGCAGGAGCCUGGGUUCCUGAAAUCAUCCCAAGGAGUAAAGGCACCUGCCAAUGAAGAAUACCUCGGUCUGUUACUUGAGGGGAAAGUAAACUUCCGUUACGUGCUCUGGUGAGGAUCCCUGCCGUCCACACAGGAGAGACGCAGAUGCCCUUCAGCUGAGGACCUCCGGGGGCACAGCUGGCAUGGAAAUGCUGGGCCGUAAGGUAUGAGCAUCUUCUCUAUUCCUAGGUAUCACUGAUCUGCAUUCCCAUGCUCAGGGUAUCCAAAUUCCAGU